CCCGGCACUGACUGGAGACCCAGGUGAGUCCUAGCAACUCACACGGCCCAACCGUCAAAACCACCUCUGUGGUGGGCGCGCACCCAACGCACGCACUUAGGCUCAAUCCGGGAGUCGCCUCCGGCCACUGACUGGAGACCCAGGCGAGUCCUAAGGAACUGACAAGGCCCAACGGUCAAAACGGCCUCUGUCGUGGGCGCUCACCCAAUGCACCCACCUACUCUCUCUCAAUCCGGGCGUCGCCUCCCGUUGCCAGGCAACGAGAGCGCGCGCAGCAAAGAGGAAGCGGGACUGACAGAUGAGGAAACCGAGGUUUGCAGAGACUGAGUGACUUGUUGAAGAUCACACAGCUAAAAAUUCAGGGAAUGGCUUAAAUAGAAUUUCAGCUUUGGGGGCUCAUAAUUGAGUGAGAGGCUUCUUCCUUGAUUCCCCUGAGAAGGAAGAAAUCUUCAUUUUUGGUUUGCAAGACCAUGAAAACAGAAGAAGAAAAUUUAAAAGAAAAAUCUUUGUCACCUUGGGUAAGCAAAGAGUUCUUGGACAUAAGACCAACACCAAAGGACAAACUAAUAAGGUAGAUAUUAUGAAAAUUAAAAACUUUACUUCUUCAAAAGACCAUUAAAAGAUUGGAAGGCUAGCCAUAGUCUGGAAGAAAAUAAUUGCACAUCAUAUAGUUAAUAAGUUUGUAUCUAGAAUACAUAAAGAACUCUCAUAACUCAAUUUUAAAGAGUAAACAAUAGGCAAAAAGAUUUGAACAGAUACUUCCCCAGGGAAGAUACUCAGAUAGAAAAUAGGCACCUGAAAUUAACAUCACUAGUCAUUAGAGAAAUGCAAAUUAAAACCACAACCAAAUACCAAUACACAAUGAUUAGAAUAGCUAAAAUAAAAAGACUUUACAAUACCACAUACUGGCAAGGAGGAGGAAUAACUAAAAAUUUCUUAUUGUUUAAAUGCAGAGUGGUACCAUGGGGCUGGAGCCUACUAGUCUAAUGAGGUUUUAGCUUAAUAAAAGUGUUUAAUUUUCAUUCAAUUAAUGUGGGAUAAAGUUUUACAGUCCUUAUUUUUCAGGAAUUAAGUAUGAUAUACUUGCUUAAGACUUUGAGGGUUGUUGUUCUGGCUAACCUAAAUUCCUGAUCCAAUGCUAAAAAUAUUCGUGCAAGGGGGAAAGAAAAGAUUGAUAAUAUCCUAAGUGGAGAUAGAAAGGCUAUUUUGUUUGUAUUCUUCACCUGGCAUUUUGUUUUUAUGUUGUUGGUUGUUGGCAAUAUUUUAAGUGGUGUAGAGUAAAUCAGUCAGACAUAAAAAUAUAAACUAAGUAAAGCUAUGAUAGCUACAAAUGUUGGUAUAAUAAACUAUUGUUCUUUGACAUGAAUAAUAAUUCAUUUAGGUAAAAAUCUGGUAAGUGAUGGUAGACUUCCUAAGGAAAAUAAGGUAACUGAAAUUGUGGUUGCUUAGGGUGAUAAUUGAUUUCAUGUGUAUGAUGAUGAUAAUGCUGUGGUACAUAUAUUUAAUAAUAAUUGCCUUCUGGGAGCACAGCUUAAAUUUCUCAUUUGCUUUACAUCCUGCUGCUCAUUUGAAAUUUUCAUUGGUUCACAGAUAUUUUAAGUAGCAAACACAGCUCUGAGGGCAGAAAAUGAGACAGUUAUUGCCUUGAAUUAUACUUCUGAUGGUGCGAAGAGUAGCUCUUUCCCCCCGCCAUCAUACUUACUGUGAUCUCUGUGGCUCCUGUAAUUUUUUUUUCCUUUCCAUAAACCAGAAAUACAUCAUCAGAACAAUUUAUGGCUAGGCAUGCCUGUAAUCCCAGCACUCUGGGAGGCUGAGGUGGAUGGAUCACCUGAGGUCAGGAG
rnacentral:lncRNA from 1 species